rnacentral:tRNA from 1 species
GGAGAAACUCAGAGGUAGAGUGCAUGCCUUGCAAGCAUGAGGCCCUGGGUUCGAUUCCUCAGCACCA